rnacentral:rRNA from 1 species
AUUGAACGCUGGCGGCGUGCCUAACACAUGCAAGUCGAGCGGUAACGCGGGGGCAACCCUGGCGACGAGCGGCGAACGGGUGAGCAAUAUUUGGGAAUCUGCCUAUUAGUGGGGGAUAAC